rnacentral:rRNA from 1 species
AUUGAACGCUGGCGGCAUGCUUUACACAUGCAAGGCGAACGGUAACAGGCCGCAAGGUGCUGACGAGUGGCGAACGGGUGAGUAAUGCAUCGGAACGUGCCCAGUCGUGGGGGAUAACGCAGCGAAAGCUGCGCUAAUACCGCAUACGAUCUAUGGAUGAAAGCGGGGGACCGUAAGGCCUCUCGCGAUUGGAGCGGCCGAUGUCAGAUUAGGUAGUUGGUGGGGUAAAGGCCCACCAAGCCAACGAUCUGUAGCCGGUCUGAGAGGACGACCAGCCACACUGGGACUGAGACACGGCCCAGACUCCUACGGGAGGCAGCAGUGGUGAAUUUUGGACAAUGGGCGCAAGCCUGAUCCAGCAAUGCCGCGUGCAGGAAGAAGGCCUUCGGGUUGUAAACUGCUUUUGUACGGAACGAAACGGUCCUGGUUAAUACCCGGGGCUAAUGACGGUACCGUAAGAAUAAGCACCGGCUAACUACGUGCCAGCAGCCGCAGUAAGAC